rnacentral:rRNA from 1 species
UGGGGAAUAUUGCACAAUGGGCGCAAGCCUGAUGCAGCCAUGCCGCGUGUGUGAAGAAGGCCUUCGGGUUGUAAAGCACUUUCAGCGGGGAGGAAGGCGUUAAGGUUAAUAACCUUGGCGAUUGACGUUACCCGCAGAAGAAGCACCGGCUAACUCCGUGCCAGCAGCCGCGGUAAUACGGAGGGUGCAAGCGUUAAUCGGAAUUACUGGGCGUAAAGCGCACGCAGGCGGUCUGUCAAGUCGGAUGUGAAAUCCCCGGGCUCAACCUGGGAACUGCAUUCGAAAAUGGCAGGCUAGAGUCUUGUAGAGGGGGGUAGAAUUCCAGGUGUAGCGGUGAAAUGCGGAGAGAUCUGGAGGAAUACCGGUGGCGAAGGCGGCCCCCUGGACAAAGACUGAAGCUCAGGUGCGAAAGCGUGGGGAGCAAACAGG